AUGUGUGUCCCAAAAGACCAAGGAGGCAUGGGCUUCCGAGAUAUACAUUGUUUCAACCUGGCAUCGCUAGCCAAGCAUGCAUGGCGUUUGCUUGAUAAUUCAGAAUCGUUAUGUGCUACGAUCUUGAGAGCUUAAUACUUCCCAGAUGACGAUUUAACGAAUGUAAGUUUAAAGAAGGGUUUUUCUUUUACCUGGCAAAUCAUUAUGGCGGGAGUU
rnacentral:rRNA from 1 species